UACGUAGGUGGCAAGCGUUGUCCGGAUUUACUGGGCGUAAAGAGCGCGCAGGCGGUCGUUCAAGUCGCGUGUGAAAGCCCCCCGGCUCAACUGGGGAGGGUCACGCGAUACUGAUCGACUCGAAGGCAGGAGAGGGUAGUGGAAUUCCCGGUGUAGUGGUGAAAUGCGUAGAUAUCGGGAGGAACACCAGUGGCGAAGGCGACUGCCUGGCCCAACACUGACGCUGAGGUGCGAAAGCGUGGGUAGCAAACAGG
rnacentral:rRNA from 1 species